AUAAUGUAUUCUCUAAAUAAUGAAUUGAUUAAACCACCGAGCAACUACUUUGCCAAUCUCUUGAGUUAAGUGAUAGGUCUUUACAUGCGAAUCAGAGGCCCUACCGUGAAAACCGAAACUUGAAAUUUCGUUAU